rnacentral:rRNA from 1 species
UACGUAGGGGGGCUAGCGUUGUCCGGAAUCAUUGGGCGUAAAGAGCGUGUAGGCGGCCCGGUAAGUCCGCUGUGAAAGUCGGGGGGCUCAACCCUCGGAUGCCGGUGGAUACUGUCGGGCUCGAGUACGGAAGAGGCGAGUGGAAUUCCUGGUGUAGCGGUGAAAUGCGCAGAUAUCAGGAGGAACACCUAUUGCGAAGGCAGCUCGCUGGGACGUUACUGACGCUGAGACGCGAAAGCGUGGGGGAGCAAACAGG